rnacentral:rRNA from 1 species
CCUACGUGAUCUGCAGUGGGGAAUAUUGGACAAUGGGCGAAAGCCUGAUCCAGCCAUGCCGCGUGUGUGAAGAAGGCCUUCGGGUUGUAAAGCACUUUCAGUGGGGAAGAAAGCCUUGGGGCUAAUACCCUCGAGGAAGGACAUCACCCACAGAAGAAGCACCGGCUAACUCCGUGCCAGCAGCCGCGGUAAUACGGAGGGUGCGAGCGUUAAUCGGAAUUACUGGGCGUAAAGCGCGCGUAGGCGGUCUGAUAAGCCGGUUGUGAAAGCCCCGGGCUCAACCUGGGAACGGCAUCCGGAACUGUCAGGCUAGAGUGCAGGAGAGGAAGGUAGAAUUCCCGGUGUAGCGGUGAAAUGCGUAGAGCUCGGGAGGAAUACCAGUGGCGAAGGCGGCCUUCUGGACUGACACUGACGCUGAGGUGCGAAAGCGUGGGUAGCAAACAGGAUUAGAUACCCGUGUAGUC